AGGGUGCUGCAUGGGCGCAGCCUGAUGCAGCCAUGCCGCGUGUAUGAAGAAGGCCUUCGGGUUGUAAAGUACUUUCAGCAGUGAGGAAGGGGGUGUCGUUAAUAGCGGCAUCUCUUGACGUUAGCUGCAGAAGAAGCACCGGCUAACUCCGUGCCAGCAGCCGCGGUAAUACGGAGGGUGCGAGCGUUAAUCGGAAUUACUGGGCGUAAAGCGCAUGCAGGUGGUUUGUUAAGUCAGAUGUGAAAGCCCGGGGCUCAACCUCGGAACUGCAUUUGAAACUGGCAAACUAGAGUACUGUAGAGGGGGGUAGAAUUUCAGGUGUAGCGGUGAAAUGCGUAGAGAUCUGAAGGAAUACCAGUGGCGAAGGCGGCCCCCUGGACAGAUACUGACACUCAGAUGCGAAAGCGUGGGGAGCAAACAGGAUUAGAUACCCUGGUAGUCCACGCCGUAAACGAUGUCUACUUGGAGGUUGUGGCCUUGAGCCGUGGCUUUCGGAGCUAACGCGUUAAGUAGACCGCCUGGGGAGUACGGUCGCAAGAUUAAAACUCAAAUGAAUUGACGGGGGCCCGCACAAGCGGUGGAGCAUGUGGUUUAAUUCGAUGCAACGCGAAGAACCUUACCUACUCUUGACAUCCAGAGAACUUACCAGAGAUGCAUUGGUGCCUUCGGGAACUCUGAGACAGGUGCUGCAUGGCUGUCGUCAGCUCGUGUUGUGAAAUGUUGGGUUAAGUCCCGCAACGAGCGCAACCCUUAUCCUUGUUUGCCAGCGAGUAAUGUCGGGAACUCCAGGGAGACUGCCGGUGAUAAACCGGAGGAAGGUGGGGACGACGUCAAGUCAUCAUGGCCCUUACGAGUAGGGCUACACACGUGCUACAAUGGCGCAUACAGAGGGCAGCCAACUCGCGAGAGUGAGCGAAUCCCAAAAGUGCGUCGUAGUCCGGAUUGGAGUCUGCAACUCGACUCCAUGAAGUCGAAUCGCUAGUAAUCGUAGAUCAGACUGCUACGGUGAUACGUUCCCAGGGCCUUGUACACACCGCCCGUCACAGCAUGGGGAGUGGGCUGCAAAAGAGUGCGUAGUUACGUUCGGACGACGCUCAUCACUUCGUGCUUCAUGACUCGAGGUGAGUCUACACAGAGUAACACA
rnacentral:rRNA from 1 species